AUGUGUUCAAGCGCAUGCCGGCGCGCAAAGCGCCCGGACCGCACGGCUUCACCGGCGGAGUUUCUGCGUGCUUGCUGGAGUAUCAUUCGGCACGACAUUUGGAGUGUUUUCGAGCUGCUGUACACGCUACGCGGGCGCGGGUUUAGCAGGCUCAACCAAGCGCUGCUUACCCUGCUGCCCAAGCGCGCAGACGCUCAACAGCUCAGCGACUACCGGCCGAUCUGCUUGAUUCACAUAGUGGCCAAGAUCUUCGCGAAGGUCCUGUCGUUGCGACUCGCUCCCAAGCUCAACAACCUCGCCAGCCGCAACCAGAACGCGUUCAUUGCUGGACGUAGUCUUCACGACAACUUCAUCCUAGUCCGGCAAUCCCUCAAGAUGCUGCAUCAACUUGGCGCGCCCAGGAUCAUGCUCAAACUCAACCUUACUCGUGCCUUCGACUCCAUCUCCUGGCCCUUCCUCUUCGAGGUGCUGCGCCAGUAUGGGUUUGGGGACCGAUUCAGAGAGUGGCUGGCCAUCCCGCUGUCCUCGGCGAGCACUCGGGUCAUGCUCAACGGGCCCUCGGCCCGCCGAUCUGGCAUCGCCGCGGGCUGA
rnacentral:rRNA from 1 species